UGGCUACUGUGCCAGCUGGUGAAUGGCUCGGCUCGAGAGCCGAUGAAGGACGUGCCAAGCUGCGAAAAGCUCAUGGGACCCGCAUGGAGGGAAAGAACAUGAGAUUUCCGAAUCGGAAUCCGUUUACAAUUGCCACGCGCAAUAGGGAACUCCCUGAAUUGAAACAUCUCAGUAAGGGAAGGAAAAGAACGCAACCGCGAUGUCGUCAGUAACCGCGAGUAAAAGCGACACAGCCCAAACCGAAGGUCUUCGGACCAAUGUGGUGUUCGGGUUGACAACCAAAACGCGAGCUCUCAUUCGAAGUCUCCUGGAAUGGAGCGUGAAACAGGGUGACAACCCCGUAGAAUGAGGCAGUACCGUCGGCGUCAAUACCAGAGUAGCAGGGGUCGGAUAUCCUCUGUGAACACCUCAGGCAUCCCCUGAGAAGGCUAAACACUCCUCGAGACCGAUAGCGAACAAGUAGCGUGAGCGAACGCUGAAAAGCACCCCGAGAAGGGCGGNAACACUCCUCGAGACCGAUAGCGAACAAGUAGCGUGAGCGAACGCUGAAAAGCACCCCGAGAAGGGCGGUGCAAUAGGGCCUGAAAUCAGUUGGCGAUCGAGCGACAGGGCGUACAAGGCGUCUCUUGAAACGACCGAGAAGCGAUUCUCUAGUAGGAAGAGAGACGAGCCGGCGUCGUGUCGUGCGUUUUGAAAAACGACCCAGGGAGUGCACUUGAUUGGCGAGUCUAACCCGUGAACCGGGGAAGGCGCAGGGAAACCGAUACGGCCGCAACACUAUGUGUGAGGGCCACCGUGUUCAAGCGCGGGGAGUCAAUUGGGUGCGACCCGAAACCAGGCGAUCUAUACGCAGGCAGGGUGAAGCGUGGCGAAAGCCACGUGGAGGCCCGUUAGAGUUGGUAUUCUACAAUAUCCUCUCGUGACUCGUGUGUAGGGGUGAAAGGCCCAUCGAGCCUGGCAACAGCUGGUUCCAACCGAAA
rnacentral:rRNA from 1 species